UACAGGGGGAGCAAGCGUUGUUCGGAUUUACUGGGCGUAAAGGGUGCGUAGGCGGCGCGGUAAGUCGGGUGUGAAAUCUCGGGGCUUAACUCCGAAACUGCAUUCGAUACUGCCGUGCUUGAGGACUGGAGAGGAGACUGGAAUUUACGGUGUAGCGGUGAAAUGCGUAGAUAUCGUAAGGAAGACCAGUGGCGAAGGCGGGUCUCUGGACAGUUCCUGACGCUGAGGCACGAAGGUCAGGGGAGCAAACGGG
rnacentral:rRNA from 1 species